GUCUUACGGCAGAAAGCAGCGGGGGUUCGGAAGUUGUGAUAUUUGAAGGGCCUAGGUCUGAUUAGAUAGUUGGGGAGGGGAUGGGUCUCCAAAAGGAGAAGCCGUAUAUGGUCUUAGAGGGGGCGUCCUCCCACUGGAGGUUAGAGACGGUCCCGACUCUUACGGGAGGCAGCAGUGGGGAAUUUGGACAAUUGGGGAAAGCCUGGUCCAACCAAGCCGGGUUUAUUAAGAAGGGCUUUGGAUUGUUAAGCAACUUAAGUUAGGAGAAAAGGGUGUAGGUUUAUACUCCGCAGAUUUGACGUUACCGACAGAAUAAGCACCGGCUAAAUUAGUGCCAGCAGCCGCGGUAAAACAGAGGGGGCAAGGGUUAAUCGGAAUUAAUGGGGGUAAAGGGGGGGUAGGGGGUUUGUUAAAUAAAGUUGAAAUCCCCGGGGUUUACCUGGGGAAUGCAUUUUAUACUGGCAAGCUAGAGUAUGGUAGAGGGGGUGAAUUUCCUGUGUAGCGGUAAAUGCGUAGAAUAGGAAGGAACACCAGGGGGAAGGGGGGUCAUCCUGGGCUAAUACGACGCGAGGUGGAAAGGGGGGGGGGGGAUU
rnacentral:rRNA from 1 species